rnacentral:tmRNA from 1 species
GGGGAUGAAAGGAUUUCGACGGGGGCUUUGAAUCACGAUAAGCGAGUAGCGGUGCGGACCCGCUUUAAACGCCGUAGUUUAGAAAUAAACGACAACGAAAAAGUUUUACUCGCUGCUUAAUUAAGCAGCCGUUCUCCCAAGGAGUACUGCGGCCUUGGAUUGAGCGUCGAUUAGCAGUAACCGUGAAUAUGGCUUUGCCUUGCGCCGUAUCAUGACUAAAAGGCUACCGUAAAAAACAGUUUGUUGCUCAACGGUUUUUGAGGGGAAUCUUAAAUGAACAACUACACUCGUAGAAAGUUGUGUGGAUGAGCUUUCGGACGCGGUUUCGAUUACCGCCAUCUCCACCA